rnacentral:rRNA from 1 species
GAUGAACGCUGGCGGCGUGCCUAAUACAUGCAAGUCGAGCGAACAGACGAGGAGCUUGCUCCUCUGACGUUAGCGGCGGACGGGUGAGUAACACGUGGAUAACCUACCUAUAAGACUGGGAUAACUUCGGGAAACCGGAGCUAAUACCGGAUAAUAUAUUGAACCGCAUGGUUCAAUAGUGAAAGACGGUUUUGCUGUCACUUAUAGAUGGAUCCGCGCCGCAUUAGCUAGUUGGUAAGGUAACGGCUUACCAAGGCGACGAUGCGUAGCCGACCUGAGAGGGUGAUCGGCCACACUGGAACUGAGACACGGUCCAGACUCCUACGGGAGGCAGCAGUAGGGAAUCUUCCGCAAUGGGCGAAAGCCUGACGGAGCAACGCCGCGUGAGUGAUGAAGGUCUUCGGAUCGUAAAACUCUGUAAUUAGGGAAGAACAAAUGUGUAAGUAACUAUGCACGUCUUGACGGUACCUAAGCAGAAAGCCACGGCUAACUACGU